GGUUCCAUGGUGUAAUGGUGACCACUCUGGACUCUGAAUCCAGCAAUCUGAGUUCAAAUUUCAGUGGGACCU
rfam:Danio rerio chromosome 4, GRCz11 reference primary assembly.